rnacentral:rRNA from 1 species
CACGUAGUUAGCCGUGACUUUCUGGUUAGAUACCGUCAAGGAGGUGCCAGUUACUACACCUCUUGUUCUUCUCUAACAACAGAGCUUUACGAUCCGAAGACCUUCUUCACUCACGCGGUAUUGCUCCAUCAGGCUUUCGCCCAUUGUGGAAGAUUCCCUACUGCUGCCUCCCGUAGGAGUCUGGACCGUGUCUCAGUUCCAGUGUGGCCGAUCACCCUCUCAGGUCGGCUACGUAUCACAGCCUUGGUGAGCCAUUACCUCACCAACUAGCUAAUACGCCGCGGGGCCAUCCAUAAGCGAUAGCCGAAGCCAUCUUUAAUGAUCUAAGCAUGCGCUAUGAUCACCUAUGCGGUAUUAGCACCCGUUUCCGGAUGUUACUCCCCCUCUUAUGGGCACGGUUCCCCACGUUGUUACUCUACCCGUUCGCCACUCAUCCACACUCUGCAAGCAGAGUGCUUCAGCGUUCGACUUGCAUGUAUUGGCUACCG